rnacentral:lncRNA from 1 species
ACGUGUUUUUUUUUUCCAAGUCAGCUGAAGAUUUUCAGAUGUUGCCUUCUGCAUGCACCAAGUAUACUCAUCAGCUAAACUGAAGGACAGCGUGUUUGAGGACUGUUUGAUGUCAGGUACAGAAAGUCAUCGCUGGAUGGGUCACCACUGACGUGUGAAUAUACACAUACCAGCUAUAUAUAUACAAGAAGAUAAGAAAAAUAGAGGGAGGUAAGUUGAUUACAUACCUAAAGCAAUACAAAUUUAUUGUUUC